rnacentral:ncRNA from 1 species
UUGAGCCGUGUGCGAUGAAAGUUGCAAGCACGGUUCUUAGAAGGGGAAAGCUUGAAACGGCCUACCUAUUUCAAC